GACUGAUAGUUUCCGAGAGAACUUGAAGGGAACAUUUUCUAACAGCGUUUUCGCCACCCUCUGUCGGACCAUGACGUCACCCAUCAGCUAGACGGGCAGAGAGAGACAUUGUUGACGUUUUGUUUUGAUCUCUUUUGUCUGGAUUUCUGGACAUUGUUCGCUGAUUUAGAAGCCUGCCUUUUGCCUCUACCAUCACGCCUCAGUGCGGGGAUCCAGCAAAGAUGAAAUGGAUGUUUAAAGAGGACCAUUCCCUCGAGCACCGAUGUGUGGAGUCAGCCAAAAUACGCAACAAAUAUCCUGACAGGGUUCCGGUGAUAGUGGAGAAGGUUUCUGGCUCUCAGAUAGUGGACAUUGAUAAGAGGAAGUACCUGGUGCCCUCUGACAUCACAGUGGCCCAGUUCAUGUGGAUAAUCAGGAAACGCAUCCAGCUGCCUUCGGAGAAAGCCAUCUUCCUCUUCGUCGACAAAACUGUCCCCCAGUCCAGUGACAGAGCGAGCUGAAGGCGGAGACAGAAGAGAAGACAUGCAGUAAAGGGAUCUCAGGCCGGAUUCGAACCGCGGUCCCCCACGACAAGGACCCACUCUUCUUUUUCUUUGCUUUUUUCUGACUAUGGGCCAGUUGUACGACAAGGAGAAGGACGAGGACGGCUUUCUGUAUGUGGCCUACAGCGGAGAAAACACCUUCGGUUACCAUACCUCUUUUACAACACGGGGUUAAAGCUCCACUGAAUAUUCACACACACAAACACACACACUGACACACACCCAACAUAUACUUGUGCACAAUGUUUCAAACAUUGGCCUUUUCAUGUGUUACACAAGUUACGCACCUGCACACUUGGCACAGUUAUUUAUGGUCAGUUUUUGAUACCAGAAAACACACAUUUUAUGGCUAAAUUUACCUACACUAAAAUGCUGUAAUAAACAAAUAAGAAACAACAGAACAAAAAACGUGUUCUCAUUUUUUUUGACAAGUUUAUUAUUUAAAAGUCAGCUGUGGAGAUAAAUAUUAUAUAAUAUAUCUGUAUAUAUACAGUAUAUACCGUAUUUAGGCUCUGACAAACACACAUGGCUAUCAUCAUUGCCAAAUCAUGCUACAUUUUCUUUCAGUCUAGUUUUGUUGUCACAGAUAUUUGUGUACAACUGAAGUGAAAAAGAAACCCUAUUACUAGUUAAGGGACAAUGAAGCUUUGUGAAAUAUUUGCUUUAUUUACGGAGCCCACUAGAUAGUGCUCUUUGUUCAACAAAGGGCUGAAAACACACUCAAUUAUCAUUGUUAAAGCCUU